GACGAACGCUGGCGGCGUGCUUAACACAUGCAAGUCGAACGGUGAAGGGGAGCUUGCUCCCCGGAUCAGUGGCGAACGGGUGAGUAACACGUGGGCAACCUGCCCCAGACUUCGGGAUAACGCUUCGAAAGAGGUGCUAAUACCGGAUACGAACUCCUUGGGCAUCCUGGGAGUUGGAAAGUUUUUCGGUCUGGGAUGGGCCCGCGGCCUAUCAGCUAGUUGGUGAGGUAACGGCUCACCAAGGCGACGACGGGUAGCCGGCCUGAGAGGGCGACCGGCCACACUGGGACUGAGACACGGCCCAGACUCCUACGGGAGGCAGCAGUGGGGAAUAUUGCGCAAUGGGCGAAAGCCUGACGCAGCAACGCCGUGUGAGGGAUGACGGCCUUCGGGUUGUAAACCUCUUUCAGCAGGGAAGAAGCGAAAGUGACGGUACCUGCAGAAGAAGCACCGGCUAACUACGUGCCAGCCGCCGCGGUAACAC
rnacentral:rRNA from 1 species